CAGUGGAAGGAGCUAGAACGUGCUGCCACACUAGGUGGGGGAGUAGGGGAUGAUACUGCCCCACGCUAGCCCUCGGUCCCUGCAGGGGCCCUUCUCCUCUUGGUUGUGUGAUUGGAUUCCAGGAUCCCUUGAUCCAGAGAAAGGACAGAGCUGUCACUCCUAAGGUUCCUGAGCUCACUGAGGUACCAGGAGGCCAACACGAUGAGGUUGUGGAAUAUAGGAAGAGUUCAUGGUCAGAUGAGCUUGGGAACCACUGUUGCCCUUCCUCCCCCCUCUUCAGCAG